rnacentral:rRNA from 1 species
GACGAACGCUGGCGGCGUGCUUAACACAUGCAAGUCGAACGGUAAGGCCCUUCGGGGUACACGAGUGGCGAACGGGUGAGUAACACGUGGGUGAUCUGCCCUGCACUUCGGGAUAAGCCUGGGAAACUGGCUCUAAUACCGGAUAGGACCACUGCCUGCAUGGGUGGUGGUGGAAAGCUUUUGCGGUGUGGGAUGGGCCCGCGGCCUAUCAGCUUGUUGGUGGGGUGAUGGCCUACCAAGGCGACGACGGGUAGCCGGCCUGAGAGGGUGACCGGCCACACUGGGACUGAGAUGCGGCCCAGACUCCUACGGGAGGCAGCAGUGGGGAAUAUUGCACAAUGGGCGCAAGCCUGAUGCAGCGACGCCGCGUGAGGGAUGACGGCCUUCGGGUUGUAAACCUCUUUCAGCACCGACGAAGCGCAAGUGACGGUAGGUGCAGAAGAAGGACCGGCCAACCACGUGCCAGCAGCCGCAGUAA